GAUGAACGCUGGCGGCGUGCUUAACACAUGCAAGUCGAACGGACAGGCUCGUGCUUGCCGGGGCACUCGAGUGGCGAACGCGUGAGUAACACGUGGGUGAUCUGCACUGCACUUCGGGAUAAGCCUGGGAAACUGGGUCUAAUACCGGAUAGGACGAUGGUUUGGAUGCCGUUGAGGAAUGAUUUUUCGGUGUGGGAUGGGCUCGCGGGCUAUCCGCUCGUUGGUGGGGUAAUGGCCUACCAAGGCGUCGCCGGGUCGCCGGCCUGUGAGGGUGUACGGCCACAUGGGGACUGAGGUACGGCCCAGACGGCUACGGUAGGCAGCGGGGGGGAGUAUUACACAAUGGGGCCGAGCCUGAGACGGCGACGCCGCGUGCGUGAUAAUCGCCUACGAGUUGUAAACAACUUUCGCUAGGGACGAGGCGCAAGUGACGGUACCUGGAGAGGAAGCACCGGCUAACUACGUG
rnacentral:rRNA from 1 species